rnacentral:lncRNA from 1 species
GCACUCGCUGGUGUGUGGGGAAGCAGUGAGGACAGCGUCACCCUUUGGAUUCAGAGGGAGAGAAAAAAAUUGGCAAAGGGAUCUGAGAUCCGCAGGUUGUGACCAGCCUCUUCUCCAGGGCUUGAGGAAGGGUCUCUUUUCCCUGUGCUGAGAUUUAAGGCUCUCGUUGAAAAGUUCACAGUAAUGACAGAGCUUUGAUUUUUUUUCUUUCUUCUUCUUCUUUUUUUGCCUGGUAUCCCUAACUUAGAUUUUCCAAACCAUGUCCCUAACUUCACCACAGCCUACUGCAAAGUAAACUCUGGUUGCAAAGAGUGGUGAAGUCAGAAAAGAUUAAGUGACUUUAUGUAAUAAUCGAGGGUUGCUUUAGGGAGGCUGCCUCUUUAUGUAAUAAUUGAGAGUUGCUUUAGGGAGGCUGUGAUGUUGGAAUAGCAUCGUUCUUUUGUGGUAAACACCAAGACUUUUUGGACUUUUUUUUUUUUUUUUGGUUUUAAGGAGCGGAGAAUUUAAUAGGCAAGAAAGAAGGAAGAAGGCUGAAGGAAGAAGCUCCCCACUACAGAGACAGACGGAGGGGGCUCCCAAGACGAAAGAGGAGACCCCCAUUCUAGAUGUUCUUAACCCUUUGAGGGCAAAGCUCUCCGUUUAAUGCCUUGCACAUAUCAGGUUGCCAACAACAUGGUGUGGUUUAUCAAUUGUGAUAGGUUACUUAUUCGAGCCCCUGUUUACAAGAGUUUUAGAUUGCAUUUCUCUGGAAUGACCACAGCAAUAUUUCCAGCCCUUGAUGAUCUUCUAGAACUUUGCCACUUCCCUGCAUCAAGAGAGCCAUGGAGAAGAGGAGACAGAGUGUGCAAGGGAAUGAAGAAAAGGAACAAGACUAUUUUCAAAUCACCCAUGGCACUACUAGAAAUGUAUUUCAGCAAAAGGACUGGCUGAUUUUAUGAUUCCUGUGUCCACCACAGCCCUCUAAUUUUUACAUAGGUACCCCACAUCUCUCUAGAUUUCAGGAAGACUAUUAUCCUUCGACUUUAGCUUUCUGAUGGGUUCACAAAAAGCCAUUAGUGUGCUGUUGGUCCAGCUUUUUUCUGUUGCAAAUAUGAGAGCUACAGUUCUGAGAUGAAACCACAGAAAUUGUUGCAAUGUGUUUAAAAAUGAGAUAGACGCCGGACACGGUUGCUCGGGCAGAUCACGACGUCAAGAGAUCAAGACCAUCCUGG